CUGUCUUGCUUCCCCAGACCAUUGAGAUUGGGUGAUGACGAACUAUCCCCUGAAGGUGUUGAUUGUUCUGAGAGCUGCUCAGGAUUGGCAACAGCAGAUAUCAAUCAGCAAAACACUUUUUCUGAGGUUCCAACUGGCACCAGUUCUGGAAUAAGGCAAGCAACGAGAGAAGGUCCUUUUCAGUUCAUGGUAUUGAUGGUAGGUAGUUCACGGCUGGGUCAACUUCAAUGCAUUUUCUGAAGACAGAAGAACCAACCUGGCUGUGAGUUGCACCAACCAAUAGACUUGCUGAAUGGAAUAAACAGAGGAGAGAAAAAGGAAGUCUAGCUUCUAUUUCUUUGGAGGAGCUCCAGUCUUUGCCAUCACCUUGGGACAUCCAUCUCCGGGCUUCCAAGACAGACCCUUCAGCCUUCUAGUGUAGAUCUUUCAGCUCUCAGUGGGACACUGCAGUGAACUUCCUGCCUCCCACCUCUGACUGCAUCGUUCGGAUCUCUAGUGCGUAGACAGCCCAUUUGCACUUUUCCACACCUAAUUCUGCAGCUGCCCAUUGUACACCUAGCUUGUAAAUCACAUAUACCUCAAUUUCAGUUCAUAGUCUACGCUUUCAUUAUUGAAAUGAUGCUCACUGCUAAACUAGGUAGAAUACUAUGAUUAUAAUUCCAUUCUCGUGUCACUUUCUGUUUUUUUUCCAGGAAUUAAUGAUUGCAUUUUCUUUUCCUGUGCUUAGUAUUGAGACUAUUUUGUCUUCCCAAAUGUCACAGAAACCCUGUAAAUUAUCUCCAUAUGUAAUUUUCCCAAGGUCAAAUCUGCUAGAUAAUUUAUACAUUGAAGCAUUUCCUUGGAGCUUUCAUCUCCACCUACAAAUAGCUUCAGAACCUUGAGCACUUCUAGCCUGGUCUGGUGGCUUUGUAGGCCUGCAUACAGCUGGAAGCCUAGCACUUCUGCUGGUACCCUGGGAAUUCCCUUUAACUCUCUCCUAGUUCUUGAUUCCCAUUUUUCCUCUUUCUUGCUUCACUUCCUCAUUUGAGGGAACAUAUCCUCUAGGGGUGGCCUGAGAGAGCAUUUUUGAGAGACUUUGUGUGUCUGAAAUACCCUGUGGUAUUGUUACCCUUGAUUUGGCUCGAUGUAAACUUACAGGUUGAAAAUAUUUUAUAUAAAAAUAUUAGAGCAGUUUUUCACUUUUUUU